rnacentral:rRNA from 1 species
GUACGUAGGGGGCAAGCGUUGUCCGGAAUCAUUGGGUGCGUAAAGCGCGUGUAGGCGGCCAGAAAAGUCCGCUGUGAAAACUCGAGGCUCAACCUCGAGAUGUCGGCGGAAACCACUUGGCUAGAGUCCGGAAGAGGAGAGUGGAAUUCCUGGUGUAGCGGUGAAAUGCGCAGAUAUCAGGAAGAACACCUAUGGCGAAGGCAGCUCUCUGGGACGGUACUGACGCUGAGACGCGAAGCGUGGGAGCGAACAGG